rnacentral:lncRNA from 1 species
AUGCAUCGGAUUGGCAGAGCUGGGCGUUUUGGUACAUUGGGACUGACAGUGACCUACUGUUGCCGGGGAGAAGAAGAAAAUAUGAUGAUGCAAAUUGCCCAGAAAUGUAACAUCAACCUUCUCCCCUUACCAGGUACAUUUUUCUGUUCAUUUUGCUGUCAUAACAAUUGGGAAGAUAGGCAUAAUAAAAAUAACAAUGCUCAUGACAUGGUGGGUACUCUCCUCAAACUCAUUUAAUUCUCACCACAAUCCUAUGAGGUGCUAUUGUUAGCUACUUCUUGUAGAUUAAGACUUAGGAAAAGAGGGGUUAAGUAAAAGUGUUACAGCUACUGAAUAACAGAG